AGGAUUUUUAUAUGUAUUUUGCUCUAUUGUAGUUAAAAAUCCCUAGUUGUUUAGCUUCAUUUAAAACUCCUGCAUACAUUGUGUUUUGACAAAAGCUUGCAUGAGGAAACUGCCACAGGAAACCUCACUCUUGCUGAGUUUGCUGAGAUAAGCUUGACCAGUUCCUGUUGUGACAGUUUGAACGUAUAUGCUUUAUGCUUAUCACCUUGUAAGGAGUUGUUUUGUACUCACAAGGGGUGGCGCCCUGAAAUGUGCUACCUAAGAGCUGUCUAUAAAUAAAGAGAGAACCGAUGUCUCGGCGCGUGUCUCUGCGGAGACAUUGCCCAUGUGGAUCUAUAUGUCUGAGUCUGUCUUUCUUGCCUCCUGAGUUUUCUCUUAACAUUUUUGGUCCUUCGAGCACAGGAGGGAAAUAUAUCGAAUAAUUUGUUCGUGACUCCCUAACCAGAGGUCCAGAACUGCAUCCUGACAUCGUGGGAACCCGGCACCGUAAGACUGUCGACAGCCCUCCGAGAGGAGGAUAAAAAACCUAGGACGUGAAUUCGGGUCUAGGUUGGUGUCUUUAGCCCCGGGCCACGGCGGUGGGAUCCAGUGAGCGGCCUCAACACUAGCCAGAGAACCCAGGAUGGUAUCUUGCAGGUUGAAGCCAGGUGAUUGGAUCCUGAUAAGGGUACUCCAGAGGAAAAAUUGGAGCUCACCCCAUUGGGAAGAGCCAUACCAGGUGCUCUUAACAACACCUACUGCAUGCAAGAUUGCUGAAAGACUAUCUUGGAUUCAUCAGAGCCACUGUAAGAAAGUGAGUGAGAGCUUAGACUAAGAGACACCGACGCCCCUACUCUCUGGUAAUCUGAAAGGUGGAGGAAGGGCUGAUUGGGUAUAUCCUGCCCUUUUCUUCUUGCCUUUAGUCUACUUAUCAGAGGGGUCAGGUGCGCCAGGUCGACAUGAGGAAUCUGUCCCUUGCAGCACUUACUCUUGCUGUGCUAGUCACAGCAUGUCUUCUAUGGCUCCGCCCGGAUUUGACACAGCACCAGUAAAGAACAAUGGACGCUUCUAAUGGCACCUAUUGGGUGCAGGGAAUGGCCUGGCUAUGUGGUCAGCGUGCCUAUUUCACUCUCCCUAAGAACUGGACAGGUACGUGUGCUCCAAUCUUCAUAUCCGAUCACACAUUCAAGAUAACCACCGACAACCAGUCAUACGCAAGAAGGAAAAGGUCCACCAGCUUAUCAGCUCUAAAAGCACAUGACCCAAUAUGGGGCUCUGACGUCCCACAGGAAUUCAAGCUUUGGACUACAGGACAGAAAGUGCUGCACUCACUCUUUCUGUGGGUGGGCACAGGAAAAAAUGCGCUGAGGAUCGAGACAUUGAACUACCGGUUUGGACUAUUCCUCAAUGCAUCAUGCCGAAUCAAUGACCAGCAGAACGAGGAGAUAGAUACCCUGCGAAUAAUGGUCAUGCAACACCAAGUAGCACUCGAUAUUGUACUAGCUGAGAAAGGAGGACUAUGUGUACUUUUCAACACCACCUGUUGCACUUACAUACCUGAUAACAUACAUUCUAGCAACAUGACAGAUGCGUUGAAGGUUUAAUACUCAUAGGACUCCUGCUUACACUGUUCUGUGUGUUUUCUACAUGUGUUCUCCCAUGUCUCAGGAAGAUGAUUUCUAAAAUGAUUUCCACAUCAUUGACAGCUUAUGUUUUUGUACCAAUGGAUGACAAAAACGAUCUGAGUAAUAGUGAGGAUAACGUUGAAGACGAAAAUGUUUAUGUGUAAGAAGAAAAUCUCAAAGACGACCUGUAAAGCUAGAUUGCAAUAUAAGUAACACAUAAUGAUGACAUAUUUGAAAAUGCUAGGAGCAAGAGAACAUGUUCUGAAAUAAAGUGUGAAACGUGUUUAAAUGAGCCAAAACAGGAGGGAAUGUUAAAGGAUUUUUAUAUGUAUUUUGCUCUAUUGUAGUUAAAAAUCCCUAGUUGUUUAGCUUCAUUUAAAACUCCUGCAUACAUUGUGUUUUGACAAAAGCUUGCAUGAGGAAACUGCCACAGGAAACCUCACUCUUGCUGAGUUUGCUGAGAUAAGCUUGACCAGUUCCUGUUGUGACAGUUUGAACGUAUAUGCUUUAUGCUUAUCACCUUGUAAGGAGUUGUUUUGUACUCACAAGGGGUGGCGCCCUGAAAUGUGCUACCUAAGAGCUGUCUAUAAAUAAAGAGAGAACCGAUGUCUCGGCGCGUGUCUCUGCGGAGACAUUGCCCAUGUGGAUCUACA